AACAGACACACAGAUAGACUGUGCAUAGGAUUUGAAAACAAAUCACCACUCUGGAGAAUUCUGUGGAGUUAGUGUCGAGUCCUCUACUGUAUUCAGGCUCUUUCUCUUGCAGGUCAUGGCUUCUUUCCUGAAUCAUGGAGUCUCUCUCUGCUCCAGCCUAUGAUGGAGUGAUGCAGAACUACAUAUAGGAAUGGAGUGAAGAAUCCCCCGUACAGAAGUGGAGCACUGUUCUUGGAAGCUACCAAUGGUUUGGCUUACUGGAUACCGAAAGCUUAUGACACCGAAGAGUCAAAUGCAUGUUUUUUUUUCUCUUUUCUUUCAGUAAACCAAAGAUGAUGCCAGGGAAUUGUCAUUUUUCUACAAAAAGAAAAAGAUGAAAGUUGUUCUUUUUUCCUUGCACUCAUUUAAAAACAUUGGAUCAGAUUCUGCCAGCCUUAUUCAUCUUGAGUAAUACUUUAUGCAUUCUAUAAUGGAGUAAACUGCUACUCACAUUGAGUAAAACUGCUAGAAUUUGGGCCAUUGCUUAUUCUUUUACACAGUGCUACAGCAAAGUUAUAGUGCGCAUUCUAAAUUCCACUAAUGGCUUCAGAUCAACAACUCAAAUAAAUAAAUAAAUGUAAAGUAGAUUUAUUUUAAUUACAUCAAUUUAUGCCCAUUAAAGUGCCUCUUGUUGACUAAC